UGAAACACCAAACUCCAGCCCCCUUGAGCCUUAUGGGAAGAAUUUAGAGAGAAGAGGAGGUGGCUCGUUUAAGGAAUUGUGAGAGCACCAUUGCACCCACAAGGUAAGUGGAUCACACCUUGCAAGCCUUUCGUUAUGAAAGCAAGAUUCUUAAGCAUGAAAGCAUGUACUUCCAUGAAUCAUGAAAAGAAAAUGGUGCACAUAUGCUUUGUUUUCCAGGAAAUAGGCAUUCGAUUCCAUAAUAAAAUGAGCACUGAAAUUACUGUUGUUGAUCAUAAAAAGCUGUGAAUUGGUGCUCAUAUGCAUCCAGUAUAAGAUGUAAAAGGUUUCAUGUAAAUGUCUAACCUAAAUUGGGAGAUGUCAUGUUUACACUGUGAAAUUCCAGGGAAGUUUCAUGUUUUUGUGGCACUCUGUUGACUUAUCAAAUGACAUCUAAAUGACACCAAAUUACCUCCAUUGGAAAUAUGCAUGUAUCUACUAUGGUUUUCAUGUUUAAACUUUGUUCAAAUUCUUUAUAAAUUAUGAGGUAUGCUUCAAUUGUGAAAGCAUGUCACUGUUAAAAGAUUUUACUGAAAUUCAGAACUGUUGCUGCGGUUGCCAUAAGCUUUUGAAUAAACAAAUGGAGUCCAAUUGCUUUCAAACCACUGUCAUUUGAAAGAUAUGUGUGUUUACGCAAAUUUUUAUGUUGAAAUCAUUUCGAAAUACCCUCUAGAUUGAGAAUUAUGCCCCUGAUAAGAGGGAUAUAUCAGUGUUAACGGCAUUCAGAAAUUCACUUCUAUUGCUAUGAGCUUUUGAUCUACCAAAUGGAGUCCAAAUGCUUUCAAAUCACCUUUGUUAAAAAUUUAUGUGUUUCUACUUGAAUUUUGGUUUUGAAACCAUCCUCGAAUUCUCUCAAAUUUGGGAUUUAUGCUCAUAUUGGUGUAACAUGUCACAGUCAAAGAUUGCCGCAAUUUCCAGAAACUGUUGCCCUUGUUGUGUUAAGCUUUUACUUGAGCAAAUGAUGCACAAACAGCUUCAAAUCCUCUUUGAUCGAAAGAUAUAUAUAUCUAUUUCAAGUGAUGAAUUAAAUUGAGUUGAAAUUCCUCAUGAAUUGAAUGCCAUGUCUCAUUUCAUAUAUACAUAUUUCUGAUGGAAAUGACAGUGGAUCCCAAACUAUUAUGCGAAUCAUGCACACAUUACGGACUGGUCUUUUGAAUAUAGCUUGAUUUCUUCAUAAGGACAUUGAAAUUAUCUGUUAUAAAAUACCGAAAAUGCAUACUUAUGAUACUAUGAAUAUCUCUGAACCCUUGAAAAUAACAAAGCAUGAGCAAAUGGAUGCUUGGGCAUGUAUGUACACACUACAAUUAAAUGUGAGCCUGUUAUAUAUACUGUGAUAUUGACCACUACGCAAUGGGUUACCCAUUGGUAGUGGGAUACUAUUAUAGUGUGAUUGUGAUAUACUGUAAUACUGACCACUACGCGAUGGGUCCUAUUGGUAGUGGGAUACUGUUAUAUUGUGAUUGUGAUAUAUUGUGAUACUGGCCACUACGCAAUGGGUUACCCAUUGGUAGCGGGAUACUGUUAUACUAUGAUUGUGAUAUAUUGUGAUACUGCCAACUACGCAUUGUGUCACCCAUUAAUAGUAGGAUACUAUGAUGUCGGCAACCAUCGGCUGUGACCCUACUCCAAUGAUAGGAAUGGGGUCGGGAAGUGAAACAGAAUAAUAGGGAGGGUCGCGUUCCCCGAAUUUAAAUGGGCCCUACGCAUUGGGUCACCCGAUGGUACUGUAACGGCCUCUCACUUGAAGGAAUAAGGAUAGGGUCGUGUCUUGCAAGGCCACUGCUUAUCGAAAACCCCAAACGUGCUGGGGAUUGUGCACGUGAGUGAGGACAUUACGAAAUGGGACACCCAUUUGUCAUUGUUCUCCCUCUUGAAUGAGGGUAGCAGUUCCAAGUUCAGGAUUGGCUUGGCCUGAUUGAUGUGACUUUUACUUUGGGAGUAGACGACUCAAGACUUUGCUUGUGUGAUUUGUGUGCUCUUUUUGGGUAGUAACCUAUUACUGUGAUAAGAGGUGAAAUAAUUAUUGGCUCAUACAAUAUGUAUUGCCUUGAUAUCUGUAUCAUACUCCAUUUUACACUAUUAAUGAAUUGUGAUGCAUGACUUUACUCGGUGACUUGCAUGAGCUAUGAUGAUCUGCAGACCAUAUUAUCUUAUAAGUAUGCAUGUAGGUGGGAAUGCAAGGGCAUUGAUCUACUUACUGGGCUUAUAGCUCAUUCUUCUUAUUUUUCCAUCUAUGUAGAGUGAUAACCUACCUUUCCUGAGGGCGGGGCAGCUGGACAUAGUGACAAGCAGUUGAAGUUUAGGAUCUAACAAGGACCUUUUGACAGUAGGUGUCUGGUGGCAAUGCCACAAUGUUGUUUUGAUGUAAUAUUGACAUUUUGUUGUCAGACUAGUAGUGCCUUGGAUAGAAUUGUAAAAGACCUUUGGAGAUUGUAUAUAUACAUAAUGGUUGAAAUUUGUGCAAUUUUAUGAUGCUUGAUGAAUGAGUUUUUAUUUUCUUUUGUGGUUUGCUUUGAUUCCGCAUAUCUUAACGCGUUGAGUCAUUCCCACAUGAAUGACGUUCGUGACCUCUGGUCAGCAGCCGAAAGGCACGUACGGUAGGGGUCAGCAGCGGGGUCAUGACAGUUAUGGUAUCGGAGUAGCCAGGAUAGGAUUCUUUCUUAGAGAGUCUUAGAAGUGUCUUUAGAAUGGUCUUGGAUAUGUUAAUAACUGGGUGAUGCAAUUUGAGGUCAAAAAUGUCGAGGACUCGUGCUAAUAAUACGAGCUCCAGCAAUGAAAAUACUGAGGCCCUCGGUGAAUUCUUCAGGACCUUAGUGAUAAUGACCCAAAUGAUGAAAGACAGUAUACCAGCCUAGGCUACCCCGGCCCCAGUACUGACUGACAGUGGGUUAAUAGAAAUAUUUAGGAGGCUAGCAACUUCGGCUUUUUAGGGCACGAGGGAGUAGAGAAAGCAGAACGAUGGAGGAGACAAGUGGAGAAAAUUUUUAGGUGUUACACUGAACUGAGGAGCAUAAGGUUAAGCUGGGAACCUUCAUGUUAAAAGGAGAUGUUGAGUACUAGUGGGGCUCAGUGAAGCAAUUAUGGGAAGGGUCAGGGAUAGAAUUGACUUUGUACAUGAAAGAAAGGAAGUUGAGUUCAUUGAGCUACAACAAGGAAGCAUAUCAGUGGAGUAAUAUGUAGCCAAGUUUGCUGAGCUGAUAAGAUAAGUGCCACACAUCAUCAAUACUAAGGGACGAAAGGUGAAUAAGUUUGAGAAAGGCCUCAAGCCAGAGAUAAGGAGGAGGGUAAUAUCGACAAAUCUCAAGACCUUCUCCCCUUUGGUGGAUCUUGCCAUGAAGAUUGAGAGGGACUGUGAAGAGUCCCCAUUCAGGAGAGAGGGACAAAUGGGGCCAGCCCGAUUUCGGAACCUUAGGAGGAAGACUCGACCGCCUCUGAGGAAAAGCUUCAGGGGAAGGGAUAACUAAGGAAAAAGAAGAUUCAAAAGACCUAGCGACAUAAAGGAAACUCGGCGCCCAACCUACCCUCAUUGUGGGUUGAGUAACCACGCGGCGGAGUGCUACAGGAAGACCAAGUCAUGCUUCAAAUGUGGCAAGGAAGUUGAGUUCAUUGAGCNNNNNNNNNNNNNNNNNNNNNNNNNNNNNNNNNNNNNNNNNNNNNNNNNNNNNNNNNNNNNNNNNNNNNNNNNNNNNNNNNNNNNNNNNNNNNNNNNNNNNNNNNNNNNNNNNNNNNNNNNNNNNNNNNNNNNNNNNNNNNNNNNNNNNNNNNNNNNNNNNNNNNNNNNNNNNNNNNNNNNNNNNNNNNNNNNNNNNNNNNNNNNNNNNNNNNNNNNNNNNNNNNNNNNNNNNNNNNNNNNNNNNNNNNNNNNNNNNNNNNNNNNNNNNNNNNNNNNNNNNNNNNNNNNNNNNNNNNNNNNNNNNNNNNNNNNNNNNNNNNNNNNNNNNNNNNNNNNNNNNNNNNNNNNNNNNNNNNNNNNNNNNNNNNNNNNNNNNNNNNNNNNNNNNNNNNNNNNNNNNNNNNNNNNNNNNNNNNNNNNNNNNNNNNNGGAAAAAGAAGAUUCAAAAGACCUAGCGACAUAAAGGAAACUCGGCGCCCAACCUACCCUCAUUGUGGGUUGAGUAACCACGCGGCGGAGUGCUACAGGAAGACCAAGUCAUGCUUCAAAUGUGGCAAGGAAGUUGAGUUCAUUGAGCUGCAACAAGGAAACCUAUCAGUGGAGUAAUAUGUGGCAAAGUUUGAUGAGCUGUCAAGAUAUGCGCCACACAUCAUCAAUACUGAGGCACGAAAGGCGAAUAAGUUUGAGAAAGGCCUCAAGCCAGAGAUAAGGGGGAGGGUAAUAUCGACAAAUCUCAAGACCUUCUCCCCUUUGGUGGAUCUUGCCAUGAUGAUUGAGAGGGACUGUGAAGAGUCUCUGUUCAAGAGAGAGGGACAAAUGGGGCCAGCCUGAUUUCGGAACCUUAUGAGGAAGACUCGACCGCCUCCAAGGAAAAGCUUCAGGGGAAGAGAUAACCAAGGAAAUAAAAAGAUUCAUAAGACCUACACGGGCGACAUAGAGGAAAAUUGGCUCCCGCUCUGCCCUCAUUGUAGGUUGAGUAACCACACGGCAGCGGAGUUCUACAGGAAGACUAAGUCAUGCUUCAGAUGUGGCAACCCUAGCCACUUAAUCAGAGACUGUUUGGUGAAGGGACCAGAAACCUGACCGAAUACUCAAGGUUGGAUGUUUGUUAUUACAGAACAAGAAGUCAAGGCGUCCACCUCUGUAAUCCGACAUAAGCUCUUUGUUUGUGGCAUGGAAGCUAAAAUUCUGAUUGGCCGGGGAUCUAUGCACUCUUUUGUUGCACCUCACUUUGCAUGCCACAUAAAUGUUAUACCUGCACUUCUUGGCUAGACAUUGGUAGUAUGCACCCCUAUGGGGGAAUCUAUAGAAACUGAUAUUGUUUAUAAACAUUGUGGAGCCUUGCUUGAAGGAUGUGUCUCAUCUAUAGACUUGAUAUUGUUAGACAUUUAAGAUUUUGAUGUUAUUUGGGUGGACUGGUUGUCCACACAUUAUGCUACAGUAAAUUGCAAUGAUAAAACUGUAACUUUUAUACGCCCAAAUCAACCUAAGUUGAACUUUGUGAGCAUUAAGGAUGGUUCCCCCUUGCAACUUAUUUCAGCCCUUCGGGCUUCUCGCUUGUUGGCCAAAAGAUGCGUUGGGUAUUUGGCUUAUAUAGUAGAGAAUCGGGAUGUCUAGUCCAAGUUAAAGGAGAUACGUGAGGGAAUAUCCCAAAGCUUUUCCUGAGGUGUUGACCUCUUUGCCUCUGGCUAGGGAAGUAGAAUUUGAGAAAGAUGUAGUUCCAAGCACUGUUCCCAUCUCUAGAGCCCCUUAUAGGAUAGCCCCAGCCGAAUUAAAGGAGCUGAAAGAACAAUUGCAAGAGUUAUUAGAAAAGGGAUUCAUUCGACCCAGUGUGUCACCUUGGGGUGCACCAAUCUUAUUCGUGAAAAAGAAAGAUGGGUCUUUAAGGCUUUGUAUAGACUAUAGACAGCUGAAUCAAGUCACUGUAAAGAAUAAGUAUCCCUUGCCUAGAAUUGAUGACCUUUUUGACCAGCUUCAAGGGGCAAGUAUUUCUAAGAUUGACCUUCGAUCAGGCUGUCAACAAUUGCUGUUCAAGGAAGAAGAUGUCCCUCAUACCGCAUUUAGGAACCGAUAUGGCCACUAUGAGUUCUUGGUAAUGCCGUUCGGGUUGACUAAUGCCCUGACUGUCUUUAUGGAUUUGAUGAAUAGGGUUUUUAGACCCUUUCUGGAUAAUUUUAUGGUGGUCUUUAUAGAUGAUAUUCCGGUAUAUUCAAAGAACCUAGAAGAGCAUAAGCAGCACCUAAGAAUGGUUCAUCAGACUCUAAAGUCAGAAAGGUUGCAUGCUAAGUUGGGAAAGAGCGAGUUUUGGCUUCUUAGCGUGGCCUUUCUUGGGCACGUUGUAUCUAAGGAUGAGGUCGUAGUUGACCCAUGUAAAAUUGAAGCAAUACUUGAGUGGGGAAGACCGACAAAUGUGACAGAGGUUCGCAAUUUUUAGCGAUUGACAGGAGAUUAUAGGCUCUUCGUAGAAGCGUUCUCAAAGAUAACACUCCCCUUGACUUGCCUAAUCCAAAAGGAAGUGAAUUUUGUGUGGUCAGAUGAUUGUGAGAUAAGUUUUCAAGAAUUGAAGAAGAGAUUGACCACGGCCCUAAUACUGACCUUACCAGAAGGAAACGAAGACUUUGUGAUUUACUCUGAUGCAUCGCAUAAAGGACUUGGGUGUGUACUGAUGUAGCGAGGGAAGGUCAUAGCUUAUGCCUCCAGACAAUUAAAGUCGUACGAGCAAAAUUACCGAACUUAUGACUUGAAACUCAUGGCUGUAGUGUUUGCCUUGAAAAUCUGGAGACAUUACCUCUAUGGGUCCCAAUUAAGGUAUUUACAUAUCAUAAGAGCCUCAAGUAUCUUUUUUCUCAUAAGGAGUUAAAUAUGAGGUAAAAAAGAUGGAUGGAUCUAUUAAAUGAUUAUGAUUGUACCAUCAAUUACCAACCGGGCAAGACCAAUGUAGUAGCAUAUGCUUUGAGCCAGAAGCUCGUGGUAUUGGAUGGCUUGAGAGAUGAAACUAUUAGAAGAUGCAGUGGAGUGGCACCCAAUCCUAACCCUUAGUGAUGGGGUAGGAAUGAUUGCUUGAGUAAGGGUGGAGCCGAGCCCCAACUCUUUCAACAGAUCCGAAUAGUACAAAAGGAAGAUCCCCAACUCUUAAAAAUUUUAAAAGAAAUGAAACUGGGAAGGAAGGAAGAUUUCUCUAUUAGCAAUGAUGAUCUGUUAAGAUUAAGGAUCGAGUAUGUGUUCCGAAUGAUGAAAGUGUGAAGCGGGCUAUUUUAGUGAAAGCACACCACUCUUGUUAUGUUGUAUACCCAGGGAGUACGAAAAUGUAUCAGGAUCUAAGGAAGACUUUCUGAUGGAAUGAUAUGAAAAAGGAAGUGGCACAAUUUGUCUCUAAGUGCUUGAUAUGUCAGCAAGUGAAAGCUGAGUAUCAUAAACCCGCCGGACUGUUGCAACCUUUACCAGUACCAAAAUGAAAGUGGGAAUACAUUACUAUGGACUUUGUCUCUGGCUCACCUAAAAUAGGUGCUGGGCAUGAUAGCAUAUGGGUCAUUGUGGACGGGCUGACUAAAGUUGCUCACUUCUUACCGAUCUGCACAACUUAUACUUUGAAUAAAUUGGCCCAGUUACACAUUAAAGAAAUUGUAAGGUUGCAUGGAAUACCGGUUAGCAUUGAGUCUAACAGGGACACUAGAUUACUUCAAGAUUUUGAAAUGGUCUGCAAUCAGCUUUGGGGACAAGGCUCACUUUUAGCACUGCUUUUCACACCCAGACUGAUGGGCAGUCAGAAAGGACUAUUCAGACCCUAGAGGAUAUGUUAAAAGCUUGCGUUACUGAUUUCAAAGGAAGUUAGGAUGACCAUCUGCCUCUGAUAGAAUUUGCUUAUAAAACUAGCUUCCAAACCAAUAUUCAAAUGUCACCUUUUGAAGCCUUGUAUAGGAGGAAGUGCAGAUCACCUAUUUAUCAGAAUGAGGUCGGUGAAAGGAGGUUGUUAGGACCAGAAAUUAUUCAACCAACCUCAGAAAAGAUUGCCUUGAUUCAUGAGAGGCUUAACUGCUCAGAGCCGGCACAAGAAUUACGCUGAUAAUCGAAGGAGAGACCUCGAGUUUGAGGUGGGUGAUCGAGUUUUCUUGAAGGUAUCGCCAACUAAGGGUAUUAUGAGAUUCGGCAACAAAGGAAAAUUGAGCCCAUGAUUCAUUGGACCUUUUAAAAUUCUAGAAAGAGUUGGGAUUAUGGCUUAUCGACUUGCCCUACCACCUGAGUUAGCGAAUAUUCAUGACAUGUUUCAUGUAUCAUUGUUAAGGAAAUAUCAGUCGGACCCGUCCUAUGUUUUAAAGUAUAAGACAAGUUCGAUCAGAGAAGACUUUACUUAUAUUGAGUGAUCGAUUGAGAUACUGGAUAGGAACGUGCAUGUGUUGCGCAAUAAAGAAAUUUAUCUGGUCCAUGUGUUAUGGCAGUAUCACUCAAAGGAAGAAUCAACAUGGGAACGAGAAUAUGAAAUCCGGGAUAAGUACCCCCACUUCUUUGAUUAACUGAGACACGAAUUUGAGGAUAAAAUCCUAUUUAAGGGGGGAUGAUGUAACGACCCAGACUCUCCCGGCCAGAUGGAGCGCGCGGCAUUAAGUGUGCGCGGCAGUGAGCGUGCACGGCAGUAAGAGAGAAGAAGAGAGAAGACACACGCGACAGUAGGCGUGCGCGGCAGUGGGCACACACGACAGUAAGACUGAAGAAGUGAGAAGACGCACACGGCAGUAAGUGUGCGCGGCAGUGAGCGCGCACGAUAGUAAGAGAGAAGACGUGUGUGGCAGUAAGCGUGCGCAGCAGUGGGCAUGCACGGUAGUAAGGGAGAAGGAAAGAGAAGAUGCACGCGGCAGUAAGCACACAUGGCAAUGAGCAAGCAUGACAGUGAGAAGAAGCAGAAAGAGUGACGUUGUGUGCGAUGCCAUCGAGCUUGUGCAUGGCCCAUGGUUACCACCUGUCUGUUGCACGCUGCCACUCAACCACUUGUCAAGAUGCCUGACACUAAGGUUGUCACUUGGCAGCCCAGGAUGCCACCUCCCAUGUGAGAGAGUACAAAAGCCCCUUCUCUCCCUUUUUCUUCACGUUUUGAACCCAUCCUUCCCUCUUGAAACACCAAACUCCAGCCCCCUUGAGCCUUGUGGAAAGAACUUAGAGGGAAGAGGAGGUGGGCUAUUUAAGGAAUUGUGAGAGCAUCAUUACACACACAAGGUAAGUGGAUCGUACCUUGCAGGCCUUUAGUUAUGAAAGCACGAUUUUUAAGCAUGAAAGCAUAAGAUUUAAGCAUGUACUUCCAUGAAUCAUGAAAGAAAAGCGUGAACAUAUGAUCUGUUUUCUAGAAAAUUAGGCCUUCAAUUCCAUAAUAAAAUAAGCAUUGAAAUUACUAUUGUUGAUCAUGAAAAGCUGUGAAUUGGUGCUCAUAUGCAUCUAAUAUAAGAUGUAAAAGGUUUCACGUUAAUGUCUAACCUAAAUUGGGAGUAAUUGAUUGUUACUUGAGAGAUGUCAUGUUUACACUGUGAAAUUUCAGGGAAGCUUCAUGGUUUUAUGGCACUCUAUUAGACUUAUCAAAUGAAAUCAAAUCACCUCCAUUGAAAAUAUGCAUGUGUCUACUAUGGUUUUCAUGUUUAAAAUUUGUUCAAAUUCUUUAUAAAUGAGAAGCUAUGCUUCAAUUGUGAAAGUAUGUCACUAUUAGCAGAUUUUACUGAAAUUCAGAGCUGUUGCCGUUGUUGCCAUAAGCUUUUGAAUAACCAAAUGGAAUGCAAUUACUUUCAAACCACCGCCAUUUUAAAUAUAUGUGUGUUUACUCAAAGUUUCAUGUUGAAAUCAUUUAAAAAUGCCCUCUAGAUUGAAAAUUAUGCCUCUGAUAAGAGGGAUAUAUCACUAUUAGCAGAAUCCAGCAGAAUUUAAACAUUCACUUCUAUUGCUAUGAGCUUUUGAUUUACCAAAUGGAGUCCAAAUGCUUUCAAAUCACCUUUGAUGGAAAGAUAUGUGUUUCUACUUGAAUUUUGGUUUUAAACCAUGCUAGAAUUUCCUCAAAUUUGGGAGUUAUGCUCCUGUUGGAUUGCUGCAAUUUCCAGAAAUUGUUGUCCUUGUUGUGUUGGGCUUUUAACUGAGGAAAUGAUGCACAAAUAGCUUCAAAUCCUCUUUGAUCAAAAGAUAUGUCUAUUUCAAGUGAAGCAUGAAAUUGAGUUGAAAUUCCUCACGAAUUGAAUGCCAUGUCUCAUUUCGUAUAUGCAUAUUUCUGAUGAAAAUGACAUUGGAUCCCAACCUAUUAUGUGAAUCAAGCACAUGCUAUUUACUGAUGUUUUGAAUAUAGCUUGAUUUCUUCAUAAGGAGAUUGAAAUUAUCUGUUAUAAGAUAUCGAAAAGAUAUGCUUAUGAUACUAUGAAUAUCCCUGAACGCUUGAAAAUAGCAAAGCAUGAGCAAAUGGAUGCUUGGGCAUGCAUGUACAGAGUACAAUUAAAUGUGAUCCUACUAUAUAAAAUGUGAUACUGACCACUACGCAAUGGGUUACCCAUUGGUAGUGGGAUACUGUUAUAUUGUGACUGUGAUAUACUGUGAUACUGACCACUACACGAUGGGUCACCCAUUAGUAGUGGGAUACGAUUAUACUAUGAUUGUGAUAUAAUAUGAUACUGGCCACUAUCGGUAGUGGGAUAUUGUUAUCCUGUGAUUGUAAUAUACUGUGAUAUUGGCCACUACGCGAUAUGUCACCAUUGGUAGUAGGAUAUUGUGAUACCGGCGACCAUCGACUGUACCCCGACUCCAAUGAUAGGAAUGGGGUCGGGAGGUGAAACAGAAUAACAGGGAGGGUCGCGCCCCCCAAAUUUAAAUGGGCACUACACAUUGGGUCAUCCGAUGGUAGUGUAACGCCCUCUCGCUUGAAGGCAUAAGGAGAGGGUCAUGUCUUACAAGACCACUACCUAUCAAAAACCUCGAGUGUAUUGGGGAUUAUGUGCGUGAGUGAGGACAUUAUGAAAUGGGACACCUAUUUGUCAUUGUCCUCCCUUCUAAAUGAGGGUAGAAGUUUCAAGUUCAGGAUUGGCUUGGCCUGACUUCUACUUCGAGAGUAGACAACUCUAGACUUUGCUUGUGUGAUUUGUGUGUUUUUUCUGAGUAUUGACCUGUUACUAUAAUAAGAGGUGAAAAAACUGUAUAUGUACUGCCUUGAUAUUUGUAUCAUACUCUGUUUUACACUACUAAUGACUUGUGAUGCAUGACUUUACUCGGUGACUUGCAUGAACUGUGAUGAUCUGCAGACCAUAUCAUCUUAUAAGUGUGCAUGUAGGUGGGAAUGCAUGGGCACUGAUCUACUUACUGGGCUUAUAGCUCAUUCUUCUUAUUUUUCCAUCCGUGUAGAUUGAUAACUGACCUUUCCUGAGGGAUGGGGCCAGCUGGACAGUGGUGCUAGGCAAUUGAGGUUUAGGAUCUGACAAGGAACUUUUAAUAGUAGGUGUCUGGUGGUGGUGCCACAAUGUUGUUUUGAUGGAAUAUUGACAUUUUGUUGUCAGGCUGGUAGUGCUUGGACAGAAUUGUAAAAGACCUUUAGAGAUUGUAUA
rnacentral:lncRNA from 1 species